rnacentral:rRNA from 1 species
GAUGAACGCUGGCGGCGUGCCUAACACAUGCAAGUCGAGCGGAGAUCUAUGAAGUAGUAAUACGGAACAGAUCUUAGCGGCGGACGGGUGAGUAACACGUGAGGAACCUACCUUCAACUGGGGAAUAACACCGUGAAAACGGUGCUAAUACCGCAUAACGUUGCACCAUGGCAUCAUGGAGCAACCAAAGGAGCAAUCCGGUGGAAGAUGGCCUCGCGUCCGAUUAGUUAGUUGGUGGGGUAAUGGCCUACCAAGACAGCGAUCGGUAGCCGGACUGAGAGGUCGAACGGCCACAUUGGAACUGAGAAACGGUCCAGACUCCUACGGGAGGCAGCAGUGGGGAAUAUUGGGCAAUGGGCGAAAGCCUGACCCAGCAACGCCGCGUGAAGGAAGAAGGCCUUCGGGUUGUAAACUUCUUUGAUCGGGGACGAAAAAAAUGACGGUACCCGAAAAACAAGCCACGGCUAACUACGUGCCAGCAGCCGCGGUAAUACGUAGGUGGCGAGCGUUAUCCGGAUCUACUGGGUGUAAAGGGCGUGUAGGCGGUUUUUCAAGUCGGAUGUGAAAUUCCCAGGCUUAACCCUGGGCGCUGCAACCGAAACUGAGAAACUUGAGUACUG